rnacentral:lncRNA from 1 species
UUCCUUCAUAUGUCAUUAUGCUUGUGAAAAUUAGAUAAAAUUAUAUAAGACAAAAAUUAUAAAAUGAAAACUCAUUAUAAAAUCAUUUUUUUGUAAGAAAUUGCUUAAAAGCCAGUGUUUCUGAUUUUUUUUAAUUAGGGUUACAAUAGAGAUGACAGAGAAAUGGUUGGAAUGAGAAAGAUGAAAGAGAAAGGAUUGAGAGGAAUGAGAGAGGUGAGUAAGGGUUUCGGGUGUUUCUUUUUUUUUUAGUUUUGAGAAUGAAAAUUAUUUAAAUAUCCUUGACCUUAAAACUUAGAAUCCAUGAUAUAUGAGGGUAUUUUUGUCUACUAUAAUCCGGUACACAUUGUUAAAACGUACCAACUGAAAAACAGGCGUACGCGUGUUAACAAAC